rnacentral:lncRNA from 1 species
GGCGUGAGACCAUCAGUGCCCACACCUGGGUGGCUUUCCUCAGAAGCAGAGGUGGGCCUUCCAGGUGUGGCUCUUGAGAAGGAGAAGAAGGAAGCAGAGAGGAGAGGUGGCCAUCCAGGACGGGCAGGGGACCUGGCUUUUAUCCAGGGCAGUCUGCGGGAUCUUCAGCACUCGCAGCUCCCCGGGCUCCGGAGCCCGCAGGGCCUGGGCCAGGCAGGGCUUUGAAAGCCACAUCCUGCCUCGGAGCUCAUUCCGCCUGGAUGGGGCCCCAGGGAAGGAUGAGGCUUACAUGUAUGCCAGCACCCCAGCAGGGCCUCCACCCGCCACCCGCCACCGUGCUGGCCCAGGGCCAGGGCCACCGAGAGCCGGCUCCAAAAUCCUGUCUGCUGUCUGCCUCCCGGGACUGCUCCGGCCCCAGCCGUCUCAGGACCACACGACAGCAUCCUGACCAGCCCGUAUUGUUGGGCGCUCCAGUCGCUGCAGUGCUGGAAAGUCUCGUCACCUCUUCAGAGCAGGGCCACACCACACCUCCAUGGGGCGGCAGUCCUGGGGAGACGGAGCUCCGUGAGCCUGUGAGCCCCAGAGCCCCGACAGCUGACGGCUCGCAUGGCGAGGAUGCUGAGCAGAGGACAGUGCUCCCAGGCCUAGAUGACAUCACGGACCCCAGGGACCCGCCUGUCAGUGGAGGAGGAACAUGCAGAAUCUGGGAGGCAUCAAGGGCCUGGCCGGCUGCUAACAUAUCAGGUUCCCACAACAGUUUGACUAGGUAUCUAUCAUACUUCCGAUUUCAUGGAUGAGGGAACCAAAGUCCAGAGAGGCUGAGGAACUUCAAGGCUCCAUAGCUACUCACGGAUGGAGAUGAGACUUAAACAGAGCUCAUCAUUAUUGACCAGGACGCUGCACGGUGAGGUUCUGGAGAUCCUGAACAUGUCCGCCUCACCUUUCAUCUACUUAGGCAUCUUUGAACUUCGAUAUCACAGUCCUGACCUGUGACCAGCCGGCUGAGUGUGGGCCCUGGCCUGGGCCAGGGUUUGGAGCUGGGCUCCGCCUCUCACCAGCUGUGGGCUCUCGUGCACAUUACUUAACCUUUCUGUGCCUCCGUUUCCUCCAUCGGCGGUUUGGGGAUGUUUGGGAUUACGUGAGUUAAUACCCGUAAAGUGCUUACAAGAGGACCUGGUACUACGUAGAAAGUGCUUAGUUCUUGAGCCGCUGUAAACACUUAGUCCUGCUUAUGUGCAGCCACAGCCCAGAAUCUCAGGAUGUUUUUUCUAUGAACAAAAUGGCUCUUGGAUGUGCUAAUGGGCCCUGAACGUCUGAGAUGAUCAGGCGAGAAAAGCCGGGUCUACACAGCUGCGCUGGUGGGAGGCACGGGAGGGGCUGGGGCAGGAUCUCUGCCUGGAGGCAGUGCUUCCAGGUGUUGGGCGGGGGCAGACGUGGGGAAGCCGUCUCUUCCCACAUGCCCUUUAUUUUAAAAUGUUCUACUGAACAAUGUAUUGUAUACUUCCUUCAAAUGGUAGAUUUUCUUAUUGUUCAAAAAU